ACCUACCUAUAAGACUGGGAUAACUUCGGGAAACCGGAGCUAAUACCGGAUAAUAUUUUGAACCGCAUGGUUCAAAAGUGAAAGACGGUCUUGCUGUCACUUAUAGAUGGAUCCGCGCUGCAUUAGCUAGUUGGUAAGGUAACGGCUUACCAAGGCAACGAUGCAUAGCCGACCUGAGAGGGUGAUCGGCCACACUGGAACUGAGACACGGUCCAGACUCCUACGGGAGGCAGCAGUAGGGAAUCUUCCGCAAUGGGCGAAAGCCUGACGGAGCAACGCCGCGUGAGUGAUGAAGGUCUUCGGAUCGUAAAACUCUGUUAUUAGGGAAGAACAUAUGUGUAAGUAACUGUGCACAUCUUGACGGUACCUAAUCAGAAAGCCACGGCUAACUACGUGCCAGCAGCCGCGGUAAUACGUAGGUGGCAAGCGUUAUCCGGAAUUAUUGGGCGUAAAGCGCGCGUAGGCGGUUUUUUAAGUCUGAUGUGAAAGCCCACGGCUCAACCGUGGAGGGUCAUUGGAAACUGGAAAACUUGAGUGCAGAAGAGGAAAGUGGAAUUCCAUGUGUAGCGGUGAAAUGCGCAGAGAUAUGGAGGAACACCAGUGGCGAAGGCGACUUUCUGGUCUGUAACUGACGCUGAUGUGCGAAAGCGUGGGGAUCAAACAGGAUUAGAUACCCUGGUAGUCCACG
rnacentral:rRNA from 1 species